rnacentral:rRNA from 1 species
GACGAACGCUGGCGGCGUGCUUAACACAUGCAAGUCGAACGGAAAGGCCCUGCUUUUGUGGGGUGCUCGAGUGGCGAACGGGUGAGUAACACGUGAGUAACCUGCCCUUGACUUUGGGAUAACUUCAGGAAACUGGGGCUAAUACCGGAUAGGAGCUCCUGCUGCAUGGUGGGGGUUGGAAAGUUUCGGCGGUUGGGGAUGGACUCGCGGCUUAUCCGCUUGUUGGUGGGGUAGUGGCUUACCAAGGCUUUGACGGGUAGCCGGCCUGAGAGGGUGACCGGCCACAUUGGGACUGAGAUACGGCCCAGACUCCUACGGGAGGCAGCAGUGGGGAAUAUUGCACAAUGGGCGGAAGCCUGAUGAAGCAACGCCGCGUGCGGGAUGACGGCCUUCGGGUUGUAAACCGCUUUCGCCUGUGACGAAGCGUGAGUGACGGUAAUGGGUAAAGAAGCACCGGCUAACUACGUG